rnacentral:rRNA from 1 species
CCUACGGGAGGCAGCAGUGAGGAAUAUUGGUCAAUGGGCGCGAGUCUGAACCAGCCAAGUAGCGUGAAGGAUGACUGCCCUACGGGUUGUAAACUUCUUUUAUAAAGGAAUAAAGUGAGGCACGUGAGCCUUUUUUUAUGUACUUUAUGAAUAAGGAUCGGCUAACUCCGUGCCAGCAGCCGCGGUAAUACGGAGGAUCCGAGCGUUAUCCGGAUUUAUUGGGUUUAAAGGGAGCGUAGAUGGGUUGUUAAGUCAGUUGUGAAAGUUUGCGGCUCAACCGUGAAAUUGCAAUUGAUACUGGCAGUCUUGAGUGCAGUUGAGGUAGGCGGAAUUCGUGGUGUAGCGGUGAAAUGCUUAGAUAUCACGAAGAACUCCGAUUGCGAAGGCAGGUUACUAAACUGCCACUGACAUUGAUGCUCGAAAGUGUGGGUAUCAAACAGGAUUAGAUACCCGAGUAGUC